AUUAGAAGUAGAGCUAUGAGGCUAGUUGAGCUGGCCCGCUGAUUGGUUAUAUGGUCUUGUGCUUCCUUUUAACUUCUCUGGGCUUCCACUUCUCCCUCGGCAAAACACACAAGACCACGCCUUGCAGCUGCACCGCGCAGAUGCCUUCCGAGCUGUCCUAAAAGCUGGGAUCUCUCCGGCAGUGCAGGAUUCAGGAAGAAUGUCAAGAACAGGUGAAGGACCCACCCAGGCUCAGUUCAGUGGGAAAACGUUCUCAACAGCUUUGAUGUCCCUGAGCUACAUGCAGGUGGCGUUGGUACCUGGCUGGCUGCGGCAGAUCCAGAGCAGAAACCACAUCGGUGGGAGCCAGGAGACUGAAGAGCUUCCCUUCCUACUGCAGUCCUGUUACCUGGGGUUGGCCGGUCUGCAUAGUGUGGAGUCAGCACCAGCUGAGGAUGUACACAUCGGUUGACAUUGGCCAGUGCUGCUGCUUCUGCCUCUACCCAAGUGGUCAUUGUUGGGAGGGAGGUCGUUGGGCUCCAGAGGGCAGGUCGAAUGUUGAAACUACCUGAAGUUCAGACCAGCUCCCAAACUGAGCCUUCGGAAGAAAGGCCUUUUGUUAGGGGAGCCUCUGGAGUGGGAAGAGAGGGCAGUCUCCCUCCCCGAAUAGGAAGUCUGCUGGUGGUGAUAUCUAAUGAAGACUUUUAUGAUAGAAAUGUAAUUGUUAAAAAAAAAUUUUUUUUUUACAUCGGUCUCAGAGCUUUCAAUCCAAGAGCUCGAUCAUUCCCUCAUUCAUGCCCUAAAUAAGCCCUAAUUAAUCUCGAGGCUGGAAGAAAGGAGGCUAGAUUGCAGCUUUCUCUGUAAGGACACACUUCAUAUUUUGGGGGAGUUUGAAGAGGCUCUCAAGCACUUCCCUCAGUGGUAUUUUAUCAGCGGCUCAGAGCGGCUUCAUUAGGCUGCUGAAGUUGCUAAUUGCAUUACCAUAUUUUUAAGCCUCAUAGGUGCGGGCCAGGCUUGACAUCUUCCAAUGUGCCCAACCGUUUGCCAGCUUGGCAUGUCAGAGACCCCUCGCACAGUUUGCCUCAGGUGCAAGGAAGGCGACCAGCACCAGUGUCUCAGGGGCCUGCUGGCCACCUGCUGGGAGGGAAGCCACUACCAGGUCUCAUUCACUUGGCAGAGAGAAUGUGGCUACAGAAUCAAUGUCGUGGUGAGGCUAUAACUCCAGCAUUCAAGAGACUAAAGCAAGGGCUGAAAGAUGGCUCCAUAAGUAAAGCCUCUGCCUCUGUCCCCAAAGCCACAUGGUAGGAAAGAAUUAAAGGGGGGAAAAAAAGCAUAGCUUUAAAAGUUAAUGUCGUCCCAUGGAGU